CCCCCUCCCGCCAAUCAGAUCGCACUGGCGACGCCCCCUUCCGCGCCCGCAUCCAAUGAGUGGCGUCGGCCAAUCGCGGGAGGCGAGAGCACCACGAAUCUCCGGGCAAGUUAAGUUUAUCUCCGAGGCUCGAUGCUGAAGAGUGACCGUGGAGACUUACACCUUAAACAAGCCUACACAAAGAACAAAGGAAAUGAAAAUCUGCCUGCACCAGUUUAAACAGACUGGAAAACCCCAAGGGUCUAGGUGAUAUGGUUAGGUACAGAGCUUGACACUCAGGACUGUCUAUUUCCCACUGAAGAUGUUAAUUAACCUACAGACUCUCAAGUCUGUGGGAGCUGGAUGUGCAG